rnacentral:tRNA from 1 species
CGGGAUGUGGCUCAGCUUGGUAGAGCGCCUGGUUCGGGACCAGGAGGUCGCAGGUUCAAGUCCUGUCAUCCCGA